rnacentral:rRNA from 1 species
UACGAAGGGGGCUAGCGUUGCUCGGAAUCACUGGCGUAAAGCGCACGUAGGCGGAUUGCUAAGUCAGGGGUGAAAUCCUGGAGCUCAACGUCCAGAACUGCCUUUGAUACUGGGGAUCUCGAGUCCGGGAGAGGUGAGUGGAACUCCGAGUGUAGAGGUGAAAUUCGUAGAUAUUCGGAAGAACACCAGUGGCGAACGGCGGGCUCACUGGCCCGGUACUGACGCUGAGGUGCGAAAGCGUGG